GGGGUGAAGUCGUAACAAGGUAACCGUAGGGGAACCUGCGGUUGGAUCACCUCCUUACCUGAAAGAAGC
rnacentral:rRNA from 1 species